rnacentral:rRNA from 1 species
AUUGAACGCUGGCGGCAGGCCUAACACAUGCAAGUCGAGCGGAUGAAGGGAGCUUGCUCCUGGAUUCAGCGGCGGACGGGUGAGUAAUGCCUAGGAAUCUGCCUGGUAGUGGGGGAUAACGUCCGGAAACGGGCGCUAAUACCGCAUACGUCCUGAUGUAGAAAGUGGGUGAUCUUCGGACCUCACGCUAUCAGAUGAGCCUAGGUUGGAUUAGCUAGUUGGUCGGGUAAAGGCUUACCAAGGCGACAAGCCGUAACUGGUCUAAGAGGAUGAUCAGUAACUCGGGAGAUGAGAAACGGUCCGACUCCUACGGGAGGAAGCAGUGGGGAAUCUUGGACGAUGGGGGAAAGCCUGAUACAGCAAUGCCGCGUGUGUGAAGAAGGUCUUCGGCUGGUAAAGUAAUUUAAGUUGGGAGGAAGGGCAGUAAGUUAAUCCCUUGCUGUUUUGACGUUACCAACAGAAUGAGCACCGGCUAACUUCGUG